rnacentral:lncRNA from 1 species
GUCUAUUGGUUCCUCUGUUUCCAGGGGAGAAGGAAUGAAGAACUCAGGUCUGGGCCGUGGUUUCCUGAUACGAGACUUCAGUCCAAACUUGCGCUUUAGGAGGUGGAACUGUUCUUUGACAUAGUAAUAAAACUCGUAUUCGUAUCUCAUACGUUGGUAGAGGAUCUGUAUUGCUUCUGGAGAGGGGACGGUCUUUUUCACUGUUACAGUCAGAUUGCCAAGUUUCCUAUGUUCUGGGUUUUUGUAGAUGCUGAGGACAUCCUUGAAAUAAUGAGGUAAGAAUCUUUCUAAUAAAAGCAGCACAUCCUCCAACUCCUCCAGAAUCCCCACAAGCAAGAAGUUUUCAUUAACGUUCAGCUUUGCUCUUUCAAGGGCCCAUUCACCAGGUUCCCUGCAUCUUGGAUGCUGUCCACAGAAAUAGGGUAUGAUAUAAAAUAACCUGGGAUUGGAACAUUCAGGGUAGUUUUCAAGGAUACACACAUUAAUGUCCAGAUAUCUUUCCUCCUGCCUCAUGCUGGGGGUACGGAUCAUGUGAUUCUGUUCUCCUCUCCAGUCUCCGAAACGUCGGAAAAAAUAAUUGGAUAGAAACCGAUUGACAGGAUCUCUAAUAAUAUUGAUGUACA